rnacentral:ncRNA from 2 species
UCCCUGCCCUUUGUACACACCGC